GAGAGGUGGCAGAGCGGUUGAAUGCACCGGUCUUGAAAACCGGCGUGGGUUUGCGCCCACCGUGGGUUCGAAUCCCACCCUCUCC
rnacentral:tRNA from 1 species